UUCAGGCGUCGGACGAAGAAAGAGACAGAAAGAGAAAGGAGAGAGGAAGAGAUUAAAGUGCGAAGAAACGAACAGACGCACGUGGACGCACAUUAGUGAAGCGAUAAGAGCAGAAACUGUGGUUUCUGCUGGAGAAUUUUGAACAAUUUCAAACGAUUCGGAACAAGUCUUGCGACAAAACACAAACAAUGGCGACAGAAAAAAUCACAAAGGUCUUAAAAGACGUUUACUAUGACCAGUUUAAAUGGUCGAUAGUGAAAAACAUUGCCUUUUUUAUAAUUGGUGUCAAGAUUGCCGUCGAAUGCAAUGGGAUGACUCUUAUGCCACCGGCUCCUGUUUAAGUCUAUCUUAUAUAGGACCUGAAAAAGAAUUGUUCAAAUAUUCCAAUAUCAUGUCUCACAUCAUGUAGAUUCAUCACAAUCUCAUCGCAAUACAAUUUAACUUUAGUUGCAUAUGAAAAUAUAUAAUUAUAUCUAGAAAACGAAAUAUUGUUGAAGAAUUUUUUAAUAAAUAGCAUUUGUUAUCAAUUUAUAGCUUUUAAUUAUAUAUAUUUAUGAUAGCAUUUGAAAUUAUUGCUAUUUUCUUGCAUAUUUAUAUAGCUUCCUUCAGCAAUUAAAAGUGUCACCGAUCUGAUAAUUAUUGGGAAGAUUUUAUAUUGUACCUACAUAAUUUAUUCAUGACCAUAUUAAAAGCUAAAUAAAAAAUAAAUGAAUUAAAAGACA